CCUACGGGAGGCAGCAGUGAGGAAUAUUGGACAAUGGGCGCAAGCCUGAUCCAGCCAUGCCGCGUGCAGGAAGAAGCAUCUAUGGUGUGUAAACUGCUUUUGUACAGGAAGAAACACUCCCUCGUGAGGGAGCUUGACGGUACUGUAAGAAUAAGGACCGGCUAACUCCGUGCCAGCAGCCGCGGUAAUACGGAGGGUCCGAGCGUUAUCCGGAAUCAUUGGGUUUAAAGGGUCCGUAGGCGGUUUAAUAAGUCAGUGGUGAAAUCUGGUCGCUCAACGAUCAAACGGCCAUUGAUACUGUUAGACUUGAAUUAUAAGGAAGUAACUAGAAUAUGUAGUGUAGCGGUGAAAUGCUUAGAUAUUACAUGGAAUACCAAUUGCGAAGGCAGGUCACUACUUAUGGAUUGACGCUGAUGGACGAAAGCGUGGGGAGCGAACAGGAUUAGAUACCCUGGUAGUCCACGCCGUAAACGAUGGAUACUAGCUGUUCGGGUGNAUACUGUAGUGGUCGUAGACGAAGUAGAGUAAGUAUACCACCGUCGGGAGGUACGUUACGUCGAAGAAGUAGAACGUACGAAGUAGUAAGUUAGUACGGACGUAGAGACGUUAGCGACGGACGACGACGAGGGAGGAGG
rnacentral:rRNA from 1 species